UGUGGGUAGUUGAUGAGGAGUUGAAGCAGCCCAGGAGCUUCCAAUAUUUUUUGGGGAGUGAUCUUUGAAAGUUUGCUGGAGAGGGGUGGGCCCCAAAUCUAGGUAAAUUUAGGUGUUGGAUAAACUACUCCUGUUUAACAUGGUCCAUGAACAGGACUAAAAAAAUACUUUCUCAAACCCAUCCUCAUCUCUAUGGAGUUAUUCAGUUUCCAGAAACAUGGGAAGACUGAUCAGACAUCACUCAAGCUGAAAGAGAAGAUCUGCCAGUGUCCGCUUGCUGUCUCAUCCUUAAGGGUUGAGCAAAGACAUCUGCCAUGGACCGUUGCUCUGGUAAGCAAAUUGGAGCAGAUCCAAGUCACUUCUCAGGCAGGUGAAAAUGGUAUAAAAACAAACAAACUAUUGUUUAACUGAGUAAUAAAUUAUGUAUUUAAAUGGAAUACAGAACAAAUUAGAACACUAUCAAUAUUAUGACUGUACUAUAAGGCUACAUGUUGGCUCCUAUCGUAUCGACAAAGGAAUUCACUUAGUGUACUCUGCCAUGUUGUAUUGACUGUCUCCAAAUGAACAAAAUUAUCACAGACAAUGAUAAUGGACAGCCUUCUUACAAUGCUAUCAAUGAUUGCAUCCUCCAAAUCUGCAAAGUCAGGGCCAACAGGUUCUGGGCCAGCUUCUUUCUCCAGGUCAUCAGACUGCUUAAUUCAUGCUGAUGCAACUGUAUUUCAAUGUUAUAUUGACGAUCCUGUUGUAAAUAAUAUUUAUUAUAAAUUACUUGUACUAUAAGUUGCACAUUCUGCAUUUAGACGGAGACAUAGCAUAAAGAAUUUUACUCCUCGUGUAAGGAAUAGAGUCAAUUCAAUUCAAUUUAAUUCUUCACUUUCAUUGUAACAUUCAAGAUGGUUGUCAAUAUCUUCCUAGUUCCUAACUUGUUGAAGUAGUGAAAUCAUUUCAUUUUCACUCCUGGCCAUUUCUGGCAUCUCUAAGCCUGAAUGCUUGAAACUGCUGUGAGCAAAACGGUCAUGAAUUGCCUUACAGCUUAUUCCCACCAACUAUCAGUGAAAAAAAAUCACUGCUUUUUGAACACAAACACACACAACUGAUGCUAUUUAAAAAAAUUUCAUUCUAAGCAUGGUGUAGUUCCUAAUGGCCACACAAGAGCAUGUGUCUGAUGCUAGUUAGAAACUGUUUGGCAACGGUCU